GACGGAGGGUGCUAGCGUUGUUCGGAAUUACUGGGCGUAAAGGGCGCGUAGGCGGCCUGGCAAGUCGGGUGUGAAAGCCCCGGGCUCAACCUGGGAAUUGCAUUCGAGACUGAAUAGCUAGGGUACGGUAGAGGGAAGUGGAAUUUCCGGUGUAGCGGUGAAAUGCGUAGAUAUCGGAAGGAACAUCAGUGGCGAAAGCGACUUCCUGGACCAGUACCGACGUUCAGGCACGAAAGCGUGGGGAGCAAACAGG
rnacentral:rRNA from 1 species